rnacentral:rRNA from 1 species
UACGGGGGGGGCAAGCGUUGUUCGGAAUUACUGGGCGUAAAGCGCGCGUAGGCGGCUUUUCAAGUCGGGCGUGAAAGCCCCGGGCUUAACCCGGGAAUGGCGCUCGAUACUGUUGAGCUAGAGUGUGGAAGGGGCUACUGGAAUUCCGUGUGUAGCGGUGAAAUGCGUAGAGAUCGGCAGGAACACCCAGGGGGAAACCAGUCGACUGGGCAUCUACUGACGCUGAGGUGCGAGAGCGUGGGGAGCGAACCGG